CGCCUCUUGCUUCAAUGAAUAAGAGGUCACGCCUGCCCUGUGACUAUAUGUUUAACGGCCGCGGUAUUUUGACCGUGCAAAGGUAGCGCAAUCACUUGUCCUUUAAAUGUGGACCUGUAUGAAUGGCAUAACGAGGGCUUAGCUGUCUCCUUUCUCCAGUCAAUGAACUUGAUCUCCCCGUGCAGAAGCGGGGAUAAAACCAUAAGACGAGAAGACCCUAUGGAGCUUUAGACAAAAAACAGCCCCUGUCAAUAAACCCUAAACAAAGGAAAUAAACCUAGUGAACCUGUUUUAAUGUCUUUGGUUGGGGCGACCGCGGGGUAACAAAAAACCCCCAUGUGGAAUGAAAACACCCUUUUUAAAACCAAGAGUCACCACUCUAAGUUACAGAACAUCUGACCAAUAAUGAUCCGGCUUAAAGCCGAUUAACGAACCGAGUUACCCUAGGGAUAACAGCGCAAUCCUCUUUUAGAGUCCAUAUCGACAAGAGGGUUUACGACCUCGAUGUUGGAUCAGGACAUCCCAAUGGUGCAGCCGCUAUUAAAGGUUCGUUUGUUCAACGAUUAAAGUCCU
rnacentral:rRNA from 1 species